CGCUCUAAAUCCCCUAGAUUCUUCUAGGUACUUGGGGGACUAGGGAUGUGUUCCACGCCUGGGCGCGCAGUCUGCUUCGCCAGCUCGCCAACGGCCUUCGGCGACGCCCCGCCGUUCUACGCGUUUGGGUCUUCGGCAAGAACUCCGUUGUUUUUGUGCGCAUACACUGCGGGUCUACGCAGAGUGUAGAGCUGUUCUUGGUCGGCCGGCAGGAAUGCGUCCCGAACCUCUCGGUAGGCCAGGUCGGCGCCUUGCCAAGCUUGUUGGUUGUACCUUAAUUUUUUUACCAUGCCUGAUAGCCCUUCCCAUGGCCUUUUGCCUCAACAUGUAUGCAAACACAGCGCUGCUGGUGUUCAACUUUAACAGGUCUUCUGUUAUGGACUUGAUAACAGCAGCAUACUGAGGAAUGCAUUCACCAAGUCCAUGGGCGCGCUGGUAUGCUUCAUUGAAUGCAGCACACUCUUUUUUGUGGUCCUGCAAAAAGUCACGUAAAUGAACAUGUUUAAAUCUUGAAA